UAGGGUAAAUGCUUACAAAACCUUCAUUAUUCCCACAUACGUGGGAGACCGCAUGUGUGUAUCACCAGAGCGAAAAUCGUUCCCCUACCACCCCAAGGAUGCACAUCUACACCACAACAACCUAUGGAUUGCAGUCCUGGAGUAUGAAGCAAGCACAAUACUCCACAGCACCAGAGAGGUACUCCACGGGCACGAUGUGGAGGACCAUGACUGCUACAAAAGGGCAAGAAGGCAGCAAGUUCUAGCUCUGCACAUUAAGGACAUUUGGAGAAGAUUAAGCGUCUGACUGAAGAGAUUGUCCAGCUGAGGGCACAGCUGGCUAUACAAUCAGGUUGACAGCGAUGUUAUUGUGCUGAUGGAUGAUGCAACGCUGGCAAAUUACAUCCCCUCGUACAGAGACCGAACUGCCCUCAAGUCUCCUCUCAAAAUGAUUAGGUAGAUUACAUCAGUUUUGCUGAUGACUAUA